rnacentral:rRNA from 1 species
AUUGAACGCUGGCGGCAGGCCUAACACAUGCAAGUCGAGCGGAGCGGCGGACGGGUGAGUAAUGCCUAGGAAUCUGCCUGGUAGUGGGGGAUAACGCCCGGAAACGGGCGCUAAUACCGCAUACUAUCAGAUGAGCCUCGGUCGGAUUAGCGAGUUGGGGGGGUAAAGGCCUACCAAGGCCACGAUCCGUAACUGGUCUGAGAGGGUGAUCAGUCACACUGGAAAUUAGAACAGGUCCAGACGCCUACGGGAGGCAGCAGUGGGGAAUAUUGGACAAUGGGCGAAAGCCUGAUCCAGCCAUGCCGCGUUGGUGAAGAAGGUCUUCGGAUUGUAAAGCACUUUAAGUUGGGAGGCGUUACCAACAGAAUAAGCACCGGCUAACUUCGUGCCAGCCGCCGCGGUAAUUC